GCAGAUGUGGUUCAAUGGUAGAAUGCCACCUUGCCAAGGUGGAGACGUGGGUUCGAUUCCCAUCAUCUGCUCCA
rnacentral:tRNA from 2 species